rnacentral:rRNA from 1 species
UAGGGAAUCUUCCACAAUGGACGCAAGUCUGAUGGAGCAACGCCGCGUGAGUGAAGAAGGUUUUCGGAUCGUAAAGCUCUGUUGUUGGUGAAGAAGGAUAGAGGCAGUAACUGGUCUUUAUUUGACGGUAAUCAACCAGAAAGUCACGGCUAACUACGUGCCAGCAGCCGCGGUAAUACGUAGGUGGCAAGCGUUGUCCGGUUUUAUUGGGCGUAAAGCGAGCGCAGGCGGAAUGAUAAGUCUGAUGUGAAAGCCCACGGCUCAACCGUGGAACUGCAUCGGAAACUGUCAUUCUUGAGUGCAGAAGAGGAGAGUGGAAUUCCAUGUGUAGCGGAGGAAUGCGUAGAUAUAUGGAAGAACACCAGUGGCGAAGGCGGCUCUCUGGUCUGCAACUGACGCUGAGGCUCGAAAGCAUGGGUAGCGAACAGG